UUUAAUAAUGUGGCUUUUCGCUAUUGAAAAAAAUGUGAAUGCCCUUAAUGUAACCUUAGCAAAUAUAAAUUCUAGCUAAUAUUCUGUAGAAUGAGAUGCAAUUUUGGAUACAGGUCAGGUUUGGAGUGAGGUCGUGAGAGGUAGGGUGAGACAGGUUGAGAGAUUGUUCACCUCUACCCAACAAAUCCUUAGGUCCACUUAUCUCAGGGGGUUGGAGGUAUUCUUUUGCUGUUUAUGUUGGUUUGUUUUACCUUUGUUCCUGUAAAAAAUUCAGUUGAACUGGUGGCACCCUUGAAAAUCAAGCUUAUCCCUCCACUUUAUUUGCAUCGAGACAGCUGCAAUGAAGAAUUCAGUCAUGAUGGUGGGAUAGGAAGGAUGCCGUAAGGCCACACCCCUUCCAUCUUCCUGCCACUGUGGGUCAAGAAACAGCUCUUUUCUGCAGAAAGAUCCUGUAAAAUUGUUACUCCUAAAUCCAACAAAUUAUGGUGGCAAGUGAAACCUAAAAUAAAAUUCUAAGGUCCCCUAACCUUCUGAAUAGACCCUUUUUCUUGGCCAAAGGCAUUCCAGAGUUAACCUGAGAAUCUAGUUCAGACUGUGAUGGAAGAGGGGUUGGGACAGCCUUCAUUAUACCCGCAAGCAUUAACAUCCACACAGACCUUAGGUCUGAUAAGAAACAUUUACAGUCUGUUCUCUCUGAAGGCUGCUAUUUGGAAACUUCAUCUGCAUGAUAAAACCUUGGUCCCCACAACCCCUUUGUAACCCAGACACUCCUUUCUGUUGCAAAUAACUCUUUCAACCAAUUGUCAAUCAGAAAAAAUUUAAAAUGUACCUAGACCUGGAAAGUAGGAAGCUCCUGCCUCAAGUUGCCCCAUGCUUCCAGAUUGAACCAAUGUAAAUCUUACAUAUAUUGAUUGAUGUCUUAUGUCUUUUUAAAAUGUAUAAAAGCAAGCUGUGCCCAACCAGGUCCGGCACAUGUCAUCAGAGCCUCCUGAGGCUAUGUCAUGGGUGCAUCCAUAACGCUGGCAAAAUAGUCUUUCUAAAUUAAUUAAGACCUGUUUCAGAUACUCUUGGGUUCACACAAGUCUAUGGAAUUUGAAGUUAAAAGCCUUCCCUAAUUUUCUUGUCUAUUAAGAUAAGGACAACUCAAUAUGACAUGAAGAGGAAAGAGACAUGACAAACCAGGUGAGGUUCUUUAUGAGGGACACCAACAUCAAUGCUUGCUGGAAGAGAUUGGCUUCUGGGUCGUCACUUUGAAACCAAGCCAAGGAGGGUCCAGCUCAAGACGGAUGCGGGGACAUUUGUUUGGGAUGGAAGAGACGGAAAAGUCUGAAGUCUAGGUCCCUGUCUGGGGGUUCUGGGUGUGUCAACCAGAGAGUCUUUGGGAUCUUUGAGGAUACAAAAAUAUAUUUUCCUAUGACUCACAAUUUAAGCCAAAAUUUCUCUAGAACACUCUAGAGUGAAGAGUGAUCCAAGGGCCAUUCUCUCUGAAGCCUGUUACUUGGAGGCUUGGUCUCCACAACCCCUUUGUAGUGGGUUGUUUACCUUUGGAAUGUUUGCUAAAAUAUAUAUUCCAAGCCUACCAAAUGAAGAUGUUCAGGGAAAGGACCUGGACUGGGCUUGUGGAUGCACCCCAGGUCGAUGCCUCAGCCAUGUGAGAGCGUGAGGGUGUCUGCCCGCCCUGAGUCUGCCUGCCCUGCCCAUAGACCUGAGACCGCUGUUCAGGCUUUGCUCCUCGCUCCUCCCGCUGCGGGUUCUUUCUUCUCAAGGUCUCUUGCUUCAUCAUUUCCUCUUAGCCCAUGGCAUGAACUUGGUUCUUGCCUCGAUCCACUCACUUUGGGUUAUCGCAAUGGCUUCCUAACCAUCUCCUGACACCCAUCCUUCUCCCCCUGCUUCGUUUUACACUGAGGCUGAUUCUCAUCCUGUCACUCCAUUGUUCAUGUAUACAUCGAAGCAACUUCACCGGGCACCAGGGGCCAUCUGCAGUCUGACCUCGGUGUACCCUUCUUUACACUUUCUCUGAUCCUUUACUCUGCACUAGAGGAGACUGAUCUUAUUUUUUCUUCUUCUCUCUUCCCCUAAUGCGAUGUUCACAUUCUGUUUGUUAUUUAUAUUGCUUCUCACUCAAAUUAGAAUUCCACCUCUCUUCUUAAUGUCCCAGAAUCCUUAAAUUCAGCUACUAACACCGUAAACAUCUAUUCAGAUCACCUCAGUUAAAAAGAGCGACGGCCCCACUCCUCACCCUCCCAGCCUAUGUUUUGCAACGAAUCUUUGGAUUGUUAUGUGACAACUAAAGAACAAAAAAUCAAGCUUUUAAGGAAUUAAAGUUAGUUUUAUUCAGAAGCCUUACCAAGGACUAUAGAUGGAGGCCUAUGGCCCAGGAGUGUUUCCAUCGGAGGCGCCAACAUGAUGUUUCAGCUCACUGUUUAUGGAUGGCUGCUGGAGGUUCAGUAUGUGAAAACUCACAUGAAAGUCGGAGUACAGGAGGAUAUCUGGUUACAGAUGACUAAAAUACAUUUAGUUAUGGAUUACAGAGGCAUAGUCACCGUUGGAAACGGGUUUAUAAUGUCAGGAAAAGUCCACACCGAGACAAAGGUCACUCAGCAAGACUAGUUUGCUUCCUGCAGGAAGGAUGCAACUUGCUGGAAGUCUUGCCACAAGAGCACACACCUGAACAAGGGAGACAGGGACAUUUAUAACUUUUAUACCUGACACUGUCACCCUACUGCUGUGUCCAGUUUCCAUUGGCCAGAAUGGGACCUUACAUUCUAUGCUUGACCCAAUUGGCUAAAUUUUCUGAAUAGAUAAGGGGAAAUAAGAAGAUGAGGGAGAAGACAAGGAAGAAGAGGAAGCUAGUCAGGAGAAGGUCAGGAGGGUUUCCAAAUAAGGACCGGCAUGCAGCAGGGUUUGGAGCAUGCCCAGGCCUGUUCAGACAUGCCGGAGCAAGUCAAGGUAGCUGAUUUAAGACGAAGCUGAUGUAGAGAAUGUAUAUACAUGGGUAUAUGUUUAUGCUAAUAGCGGGUAACAGCCCCAGAGUGAGAGAUUGUAACUCCUUAUAAUACAGUCUAAGAUACAAACUUUGAAGAAGAACUUUCCCAUCUCUCACAGUCACUAACCCUGUCAAACGUUAUCUUCUGUGUAGGAAAAGACAAGGCUAGCGUCAUGCAUUUUUUAAGGAGUGUAGUGACUCAGGCAAGAGGUGUGGGGUCCAUGUGCUCCAUCCUGUUUUGUCUUCAAAGCAUCUUCCCAAACAAGCACAUGGCCUCACAGAGUUAGGGGCUGUGUGAAAUUAUCUUGACAAGCAGAAAUGAGCAGACAUGGCUUCUCGCACUUGUGACUUUGUCUCACACGUAUUAUAUAAAUCUCUCCCCUGCUGAACUGUAAGCCCCUUGAGAGGCAGAAGUGUCUGCUGUGGUUGCAUUUUCAGCCAGGACUAGUUUAGUUCCUGGCUCAUGAUGGGGCUUCAUUCACUGGCCUGAACUCUUCUCCUGGACACCAGUGUCUUCUCCCAAGCUCCUGCCCCGUUGAAUAAUAAAUACAGCCUCCAGGGCCUCCAUCCCAUGCUCUCUCCUUUACAUAUCAGGUGCCUCAAAUUAGAACCAGGGAUUCUCAGUUAAAUUAUGUUGGGUGAGCCUGGAACAUUGGUUUUGGUGGUUCUGAGAAAAUCCCCUUCCACUGUCCGUGUGACCAGCGAUCUACCGAGUGUGGCCAUAUUCACAGCACACUACCCGUCCAUUCCCAGUUCCUUCCUGAAUGCAGCAUGCACUUGCAUGUGAUGACAAUGAAGACUGUGCAAGACUCUGGAGGGGGUGCAGAGAUGAAGGGAUGUGUGGCUUGUUUUCAAGGAACUCAAGUCUGGUAGGGGACAGAAAAGAUGAAUGCAAGAAACUCUAAUGUGAGGUUGGUCAUAUCAGUCCAGCCUUACCCACCAUCGUCACCUCUCCGAGGACGAGUGGCUCAUCUGAUGGGGCAGAAUCUCAGAUGCAGGCUGUGCCAAGGCAAGGCUGGCAAGAGUCCCAGAAGCUCGGUUCACUUGCGCUUGGACUUCCUGUUUUUCACCUGUUUGGUGAACAAACCCCUGUUGCCUGGAUGGCUGACUGUCCUCUCUUCCCUUCAUCUCUUUCAUCCUAAACAUCAGGGUGAGAAGUCUUUGCACCUCCUACUUUUCUCUGCAAAGUCUGUCCAGACUCCGAACUAGAAACUGUGAGAUCUGGGCUCCAGGGAUAGAGCAGAAGUCAGCAGAAGGCAACAAUCCUCCUUGGGAGGAAGUCAAAUCACCUAACAAUAGCUGUCAGUGAAUUUGUUCUGGAGUUUUGUAGUGAUGAAUACAGCGGUGCUUCUCCUCCAUCCUGCUAUUCUCGCCAAUGGCUUUCUGGAAAAUGUUGUAAUAGAGGUGAAUGUUGGAGGAAUUUGAGAAUUCUAGGUUCUAGAAGGUUCUAGGUUCUAGAAGGUUAACUUGAUUCACCAAUGCUGUAACUUAACCCCCAUUAGCAAUGGAGCUUCCUGGGGAAAUUGUGAUAAAAAAUCAGUUCUUUCCAUUUUGUGUAUAUUUUACAGUUUACAAAGCCCUUCUAUAGGCAGCAAAAUAAAAGGGAACUUAGUACUUGACGCAGAGAGAACUAUUUUUCAAAUGGUAUAAACAUAAUACAUAUUAGCUCCUGUUUUCAUUAGUUUGAAGGCAUUUGCUGAAGCUUUCUUUUUGAACUUAGAAAACAGCCUACAGUUUCGGAAGAGUCUGUGAUUGGACCCCAAAUCAUAUUUUAAAAUAAAAGACUUGUACAUUCUCAUAAAAGUAAAAGCACUAUAUUAUUGUUAUCCAAAUUUGUGUACCCCAAACACACCAGUGUCUCAGUCAAUUAAAUGUGACAGUUGAGGGUCACAGUUAAGGGCUUGAACAGCUUUCCCUUUUGUUUAUUCCUUGUUCUGAUUAUUUGUAAACUUGCAUAUGACAUAACUUUAGGGGCCAAGUGUGGCAGAAGGUGCCAUCUUCCCAUGACACGCACCUUGUGUCUUUGGGGAGGGAGCUCCCAUGAACUGAUGAAGAUGUCAGCCUGUGUUACAGGAGUGUCAACAGCUGCACAUUUAUCACCGUGCCAUAGGCCCUCUCAGACUGAAAGAUUUCGCUGUUUAUUCACAGCAAAGACACUUAAUUAAUGGCUAGGCCUAAUCGGGCUGUCUUAUUAUUUACAGGGAUACCAGUGUGGCUUAGAUCAACUGAUGUGCAAACAAACCAUCCUUGAGGAAGCUUUAAUUAAUAAUUCUGAGCCAGGCGUUCUGAGAGGCCCUGACUCCCAGCUCUGGGGUGAUUUACAGCGUCUCCUUUGCCACGUUCUCAUGUCCCCUGCAUGCAAAUGAGUGACCACCCUAGCAGAUCUUUCUUUUUCAACUGCACUGGGCCGUGUUUAUUACAGAAAUGCUGUUAUCUUUGCACAGGACUUAAUGGAGAUAGAUACCCUGAAUGGGAAAAUUCCUGGUGUCUUUCUUAGAUAUGUUGCCAUUUAAAAACAUUUGCAUACACGUACUCAGCACCGUCUAAGCUAAAAUAUGAAGAGAAGGGAUGUUCACUUUAGUGAAGCUGAAAGGGAAUUAAGCUUAGUGUUCAUCUGAGGUUCCCAAUCUAGUUGGGAGUCAUAUAUUUAAACAAAUAAUUAUAAUACAAAGUCAGUUGCACUCGAUGUUAACCCAGAAUCAGAAAGCCUACUGGGAGAACAAGAAAGGGAGAAGCAGAGGACUGCUGGGUGGGCCAGGGAGGCCCUUCCCACGUGUGCCUGUUGCGGGGAGGGAGUGAUUAGUAUGCUGGAGGAUAAUAAGAAUGGUUUGAAAGAAAGACAAUUUUGAAAGCAACUUAGAGGGCCUGAGGCUGGGUGCAAGGGAAUGAGCUAGGAGAUCCUUGCAACUGAUUGUUUGCAGGAGUUGUUUUCUGGGCACAAAAUAGAGUCUGAGCACUGGAAAUACAACAGGGGGAAUUAUAUUCAAGGGACUUCCUGGAGGCCGGAUCACAAGAUUUGACAAGGGAUUGAAUGUGGGGGUGAAGGGAGCAGUGCUAUGACUGAUUGGGAAGAGGUUUCCUUGCUGUUACUCAAAACAGAGCUUCAGAGUCGGUGUGCAGUGUCGUUUUGAGUGGCAAAAGGCUGGAAGCAACUUCAAUAUCCCAGAGAGGGGCAGUCUGAAGCAACCAUGAGCCCCUUUUCCAAUGGACUAGUGAACAGCUGCAAAAACAGGAGCAAAAGGAAAGAUGUUCUGUGUGACACUGCGGUGCAAUUUCUAACCUGGCAACGAGACUGCUGUAAACAGCUGGCCCGCAGUGCCUCUAUGCAAUGGAGGCUGAUGUCUAGCUCUCCUGGUUGGUGGGCAGCUCCCCUCUGGGGCCUGCACCCUUUUUCUCUUUUGAUCCCGUUGUCCUCUAAGGCCUCAUUGUCUGCAUCCAGCUGAUGGAAUGGAACAGAGGCACGGUAAAGGCAAAGUUACUUCCGAAAGCCUUUGAUCUGAGAGUGCAGCCUGCCUCCUACUCCCAUUCUACAUGAAAAAACUGGUCAUAUGUCCAUAUUCAGAUUCAAGGAAGGCUGGGAAAUGCGAUUCUGGCUGAGCAGCUGCUUUCGAGCUGUGACUGUUUCCUAGGAAAAAAGAGAGUGUGUUUGCUGAACACCUAGCUGUCUCUGCUACCAUCUCAUUUACUUAUCAUUACAUGAAAAAGCAAGGCGCGUAAUAGUGUUACUGUGUCGGCUAUUGUGUAAAGAGGACUGUCGUAUGUAUUUUUAUUUGUAUACGCAUUAAAAAAUCUAGUACCCAUGCUGACGUAUGGAGAGGACUGUCGGGAAUUAGUAAAUGGGAGAUGAAGCAGAAGAGAAACUUCGCUACACUGGAUACGCUGAUAUGUUUUUGAGAUGCUACCAAUGUAAAUUAAAUUACCUACUCAAAGAACAAAAUAAAUUUAAGACGUUAAAAAAAGAGAGAGAAUGCCAUCAAUCUGGGCAGAAGGUAAGGAACAUGACUCCCAGACACACUGUAGACCCAUCUGGCUCAGGGCCAUCCCAUCCCACAAGCAGCGUGGGAGUGGAUGAAGCCAUCUGGGAUCCCCGUCAGGAGCUGCAGUCUUGAAGACUGUGAGCAAAGCGUAGGCGAAAAUGUACCAGAACUGAUGUCAUGAAAGGAAACCUGCUCUUCUUUGCUCAGAGAAAAGAGGCAGAAGUUUAUAGAAAGAAGAUCUCACUUUGCAUGAUUUGUCAAAUAUACAUAAGCAAAGCAGGUAUAUUUUCAUAGCUUUUAUGUAAAUAUAUGCUUCUUAUUGACCCCAGUGGAAAGGAGGUAUCCUCACCACAGAACAUGAAACGUGGAUGUCACUUCGCAUGGUAAAUGUCUCCCGCAGCGUCUGCCUCUGGAUUGAGAAAAAAGUAGGGUAUCAAUAGACAGCUAAAGAAGGAGUUGCUGGCUGGCUACUGCUUGCAAGCAGCCAUGUGUGUCAAGGAUAUUUCAUCCCCAUCUUCAAGAAUUUUGCCUACAGGACUCCCAGGAGCACAGGAGCCCACUACAAGGAAGGUUAUACAAGGAAGUCUCCCAGGAUAAUAGCAACAGCUCCAAAGACAGUGGCUGACUACCUGUGCAGUGCAAUCAGUUCCCGCAGCCCCAGCUGCUAAACGAGAGUGAGUUUCCCACCAGAAAGACGUGGAGAGGGUCUCCGGAGGCAUGCCCUGGACAUUUCUGGGAGUCAGGCUUUCAGAGGGGACUGGAAGAAUGUUUUUCACAGUUUGGCAAAGGAUUGAGUCUUAAGUACAAUUGAUGGGUUGUCUCUGACCCCAUCAAUAUUGUGAUUGUCCAAGAUAUAAAAUAAAGGACUCUUUACCACAGUUCCUUAUAAUGUGCCCUUUUCCUAACUGCCCAGCGUGCUCUACUAGAUGUGCCAGAAUUCCUCCAGUGUGUCUACCGGGAGCACAUGUGUGAUGUCAGUUCUGUGGAAACUGCUUACGUUGCAUUUCUGGUGUGCCAGCAUCCACUAAGAUGUUGUAGGAAUAAUCACAAUUUGCACCCUCAAGGGCUACCAUAACUCAUGGGGGAGACACAUAUUGAAAUUAAUAGGAUCAGUUGUGAUACGUGCUAUGAUAAGAGCCCAGGCUUCCGUUUCCCAGAUUCUCUGUUUCAGACAUCCAUAAAAUUACAAAUGUAAUACGGCACAAACUGGCCAUUAUUUACCUUGUUAAGAAAGUUAUUAAAUAAAAUCUAUCACUUACAAUCA